GCGUCUGUAGCUCAAUCGGACAGAGCGCAAGAUUCCGGAUCUUGAAGUUGGAGGUUCGAGUCCUCUCAGACGCG
rnacentral:tRNA from 1 species